rnacentral:rRNA from 1 species
UACGAAGGGUGCUAGCGUUUCUCGGAAUGACUGGGCGUAAAGGGAGCGUAGGCGGACUGCACAGUCAGGCGUGAAAUUCCUGGGCUUAACCUGGGGGCUGCGUCUGAGACGUGUGCUCUAGAGUGAGGAAGAGGGUCGUGGAAUUUCCAGUGUAGAGGUGAAAUUCGUAGAUAUUGGAAAGAACACCGGUGGCGAAGGCGGCGACCUGGUCCUUGACUGCAGCUGAGGCGCGAAAGCGUGGGGAGCAAACAGG